AUGUGCUCCAGAACCAUUCCACUCCAGUUCAGGGCUCGUUCGGCUAAUCCUGUCUCUAAUGGGACUGGAGACAAUUACUGGAUGGGGUCACGGGGGAUCAAUUCUCUCCGACUGUCUCCGAUCCCCACCGAACCGAACAGGGGCGCUCUGAACGCGGCGGUUCCGAACAAGGCGGCAUGCUGCAAAUUCCUCCCCGGCGUCGCCUCCGUCGCGCCUAGUUCGUCGCCGCUGCGGCAUGUGACCCGCGGCGAGCAGAGGCCGUGGAGCUCCCCCGUGGCGAGGACGAACGACGGCGCCGCGGAGGGCGAGCCGGAGGCGCCGGGGGAGGCCGAGGGGAAGCAGGGAGACGAGGAAGUGGCGAGGAGGAAGAGCGCCGCGCAGGAGGUGUUUGAAGGCCUGUACAUCUGCGGCUACGUCCUGUUCUACAGGAUUGGUGAGUGCGUCUGGUACAAAGUGAAGGAAGGCAUCGCCAAACUCCGCAAGAAACGAUGA
rnacentral:rRNA from 1 species